CCAACGGCCCUUUCAAGGGCCACCAUUACCUACGAAGAGUUUUAAG
rfam:Orchesella cincta Ocin01_Sc7384, whole genome shotgun sequence.